rnacentral:lncRNA from 1 species
AGGGAGGAAAGAAAGGAAAAAAAACAAAUAAAACAACAAGAAUAAACUGCAGUGAUAUUAAGCGAACAAGGGAAAAACUGUCUACGAGCUUAAGGCAAAAGUGGAUGCUACACAGAGAACUGUUUAGAAACAUUUGUAAACAAUGGGUGUUUGUAGAAUGGAAAGGUGAAUACUUAUGACACAAGACUUGCCACUCAUGAGCAAACACUCAUGUGGACACCAUGGUUAACAGUGGUGGUAGAACUAUGGCACACUUGCCAGAGUGGGCUGUUUGCCAUCACUGAAAGCUCUAAAAGGUUCACAACCGCUGACGUGUAUAUCUAAAAUCCAUCCUUGAAGAUCUAAAACACAGAUGAGAAUCUCAUUCAUUCAACAAUUUCUUUACAUGCCCAUCAUGUGGCAGGUACUAUACCAGUCAGACAAAGCAAGUGGACUAUAAACCAACUGGGAGGAAUAAACAAGUAUUAUGCUUACUUAACCAGUAAG